GUUUCCUUAGAAUUGACUGUUGUAAUUCUUUGGGCUGUUCUUUCCGUAUAUAAAAGUGGAAAGCAAGAAACUUCUGGAUGACUUUUACAUGUCUUUCUACUGUAGAUUUAGGCUUUCUUAAGUUCGUGCUGUGGAUAAGUAUUUAGUUUUUAAGCAUUCAAGUGACCACUUAGCAUUAAUGAUGGAGCUUCUUGGAAUGAUGCCGCGCAAGAUUGCUUUAGGUGGCCGCUAUUCCCGGGAUUUCGUCAAUAGAUAUGGCGAUCUAAGGCAUAUUCGUCGGUUGCGUUUUUGGCCGUUGAACAAGGUG